UUUUAUAGCAGGACUGUGAGGAGAGAAGGAGGAACUGUGUUUGCUCCUGCAUGGCCAAAGUGAGCUCCAUGUUUGCAGAGGCACACAUCAAAGAUAUGAUUACCCCUGGUGAACUGAAAUCUGAAGAACUGUGAUGCUGGAUAUGAUCAACAGAAAUACUACUUUGGGACCUUGCAUCUCGUUGGAUGAUCAGCCUGAUGGAUGUCAUCAUUACUUCACUGAAAAGCUCCUCAGCAAACUGCAGUUGCUCUGCUGUCGUCUGCCUGAAGCAGCUAUACAGGGGUGAAUAAGUGACUGGAUUUCUCUGUGACCCUGCUGACAGUGUAUGAAGUUCUGAGACACCUGGAGGCAUUGAGGUUUUCAAGAAUGGGAAUGAUCACUAGCCUCUAUGUUUGCACAAUAGGGCAAAAUAUAAUCCCUGCAAAUGGCAGGAGAGUUGGGUAGUUCACCCCAGCUAUGGAUGUACAUUUGGUUCUACAUAUGGAUUAUGAUGGCUUUUUAUUCUGUAUUUAAUUGAAUUCAAUUUCAACAACUCGAUUUAUACAACAAAGUGAAAGCUAAGUAUAAAGGGAUGUUUGUUAUUAAUUGGCUGUAUCUGUAAAGCAAUGUUGUGCACACCAGGGCAGAAUAAUCCCUGCACCAUUGCAGGGGGCUGGGUAGUCCACCCCAGCUACCCAAACCGUUGAUACAUCUGAAGCGCUGGAUUACUCGUUCAGCUCCUUGACACCAGGAUUUUUGAUUGUUUACACUUACUGAAGGAGGUCCAUGUUCAAGCAUAAGUGGAUAUUAUAUUUCCUAUGGAUGUAUAUUUGAGGCAGUGAGUGCACUUCAGGGCAGAAUAACCCCUGCACCACUGUAGGGGGGCUGGGUAGUCCACUCCAGCUCCCCAAAAGACAGAAUCCCUCUCAGAAUCACAUCAUGGAAGUGUUGGCCUCCCAAGCCUGCUGGCCUUGAGUAAGCUACUAUGAACAGAGAUUCAACUACUACAGGCCAGAGACAUGGACUCCAUGGGGUGAGCAGUAAGAUUGUCAAGGGAACAGACCAUCAAUUGAAGGCUGUAACCCUGGGCCAGCCUGAGAACUUUUCUUCCCCAUGUGAAUCUUCCUGGUCGUCCAGGAUUCCUCUACUAAGAAUCUCCAUGCUGCUGUGGAUAGGGGCUGUAGACCAUCAUUGUGACCACCAUCAACUUCAGUGAGGAGCUUCUGGUGCACAUUCAUCACUGGCUGUAAAAGGGCUUUCACCACAGCUUCAUGGAUGCAGGUGCCUUUCACAUAUGGGAGUACAAAAUUACAGUGGCUGGAUUCAUUGAGCAACAGGUGCAUUCUGGGGCAGAAUAAUCCCCGCACCUUUGCAGGGGGGCUGGGUAGUCCACCCCAGCUCCCCAAACCAUUACACCCAAAAUGCUGGAUUAUUACUCUUGCACUUUUUCAUACCUGGAUUUAUUGCUAUUUCACCGAGGGAUAUACAUUUUCAAGGAUAAGGAUCUAUGUAGUUGAGUCUGUAAAGCAGUGUGUGCACUACAGGGCAGAAUAAUCCCUGCACCAUUGCAGGGGGCUGGGUAGUCCACCCCAGCUCCCCAAAUCUAUAGAUACAUUUAAAAUACUGGAUUAUUUCUUUUGCACAUUAUAAUAUCUGCAUUUUUGCCAUUUAUUGAUAUUCUCUGAGGUUAUAAAAGGGCAAGGAUGAGGAUGUAUGAUGUUGUGCUUGGACUUGUGAUGCAAUGUGUGCACUACAGGGCAGAAUAAUCCCUGCACCAUUGCAGGGGGGCUGGGUAGUCCACCCCAGCUCCCCAAAACAUUGAUACAUCUGAAGCGCUGGAUUACCCUUUCAGUUCCUUGACACAUGGAUAUUUGGUUGAUAACGCUUACUGAGGGAGGUCCAUGUUCAAGCAUAAGUGGAUAUUAUUUUUAUAUGGAUAUUUUUGACGCAGUGUGUGCACUUCAGGGCAGAAUAAUCCCUGCACCAUUGUAGGAGGGCUGGGUAGUCCACCCCAGCUCCCCAAAUCUAUAGAUACAUUUAAAACACUGGAUUAUUCCACACAUUAUAAUAUCUGCAUUUUUGCCAUUUAUUGAUAUUCUCUGAGGUUAUAAAAGGGCAAGGAUGAGGAUGUAUGAUGUUGUGCUUGGACUUGUGAUGCAAUGUGUGCACUACAGGGCAGAAUAAUCCCUGCACCAUUGCAGGGGGGCUGGGUAGUCCACCCCAGCUCCCCAAAACUUUGAUACCUCUGAAGCACUGGAUUACUCUUUCAGCUCCUUGACAUCAGGAUUUUUGAUUGUUUACACUUACUGAAGGAGGCCCAUGUUCAAGCAUAAGUGGAUAUUAUAUUUCCUAUGGAUGUAUUUUUGAGGCAGUCAAUGUACUUCAGGGCAGAAUAAUCCCAGCACCACUGUAGGGGGCUGGGUAGUCCACACCAGCUCCCGUGAAGAAAGAAACCUUCUCAGAAUCACAACAUGAAAGUGUUGGCCUUCCAACACUGCUGGCCUUAAGAAGCUAUUGACAGAGAUCCACCUGCUAGAGGCCUGAGACACAGACUGCCUUACGGCAGCAGAGAGGAGAUCAUCUGAGAACCUCUUCUCCAAGAGUGAAUGUUGUCCAGGAUUCCUCCACUGAGAAUCUCCAUGAUGCUGAAGAUAGAGGCCCCUAUCCAAAAGUGUCAGCGCUAUCAGCUCAUCACUGUUUUGGAGAUGAGUACUUCACCCCAACUCACCGAAAGGGAGAAACCUCCUCAGAUUCACAACUUGAACAAUGUUGACCUUCCAACACUGCUGGCCUUGAGGAAACUAUGGACACAGAUGCAGCUACAGGUCUGGGACUGCAUUAUGAGGGCAGUAAGAUAUUGGCAGAACAGACCAUCUGCUGAAGGUUGGAACCUUGGACCAUCCUAAGUUUUUCUCCCCCAAAUGAAUCUUCCUGGUCAUCCAGGACUCCUCUACUAAGAAUCCAUGCUGCUGCGGAUAGGGGCUGUAGACCAUCAUUGUGAGCACCAUCAGUUUCAGUGAGGAGCUUCUGGUGCACAUCCAUCACUGGCUGCAUUAGGGCUUUCACCCCACUUCAUGGAUGCAUUUGCCUUUCACAUAUGGAAGUACAAAAUUACAGUGGCUGGAUUCAUUGAGCAACAGGUGCAUUCUGGGGCAGAAUAAUCCCCACACCUUUGCAGGGGGGCUGGGUAGUCCACCCCAGCUCCCCAAACCAUUACACCCGAAAUGCUGGAUUAUUACUCUUGCACUUUUUCAUACCUGGAUUUAUUGCUAUUUCACUGAGGGAUAUAAAUAUUCAAGGAUAAGGAUCUAUGUAGUUGAGUCUGUAAAGCAAUGUGUGCACUACAGGGCAGAAUAAUCCCUGCACCAUUGCAGGGGGCUGGGUAGUCCACCCCAGCUCCCCAAAACAUUGAUACAUCUGAAGCGCUGGAUUACUCUUUCAGUUCCUUGACACAUGGAUAUUUGGUUGAUAACGCUUACUGAGGGAGGUCCAUGUUCAAGCAUAAGUGGAUAUUAUUUUUAUAUGGAUAUUUUUGACGCAGUGUGUGCACUUCAGGGCAGAAUAAUCCCUGCACCAUUGUAGGAGGGCUGGGUAGUCCACCCCAGCUCCCCAAAUCUAUAGAUACAUUUAAAACACUGGAUUAUUUCUUUGCACAUUAUAAUAUCUACAUUUUUGCCAUUUAUUGAUAUUCUCUGAGGUUAUAAAAGGGCAAGGAUGAGGAUGUAUGAUGUUGUGCUUGGACUUGUGAUGCAAUGUGUGCACUACAGGGCAGAAUAAUCCCUGCAUCAUUGCAGGGGGGCUGGGUAGUCCACCCCAGCUCCCCAAAACUUUGAUACCUCUGAAGCGCUGAAUUACUCUUUCAGCUCCUUGACAUCAGGAUUUUUGAUUGUUUACACUUACUGAAGGAGGCCCAUGUUCAAGCAUAAGUGGAUAUUAUAUUUCCUAUGGAUGUAUUUUGAGGCAGUCAAUGUACUUCAGGGCAGAAUAAUCCCAGCACCACUGUAGGGGGCUGGGUAGUCCACACCAGCUCCCGUGAAGAAAGAAACCUUCUCAGAAUCACAACAUGAAAGUGUUGGCCUUCUAACACUGCUGGCAUUAAGAAGCUCUUGACAGAGAUCCACCUGCUAGAGGCCUGAGACACAGACUGCCUUACGGCAGCAGAGAGGAGAUCAUCUGUGAACCUCUUCUCAAAGAGUGAAUGUUGUCCAGGAUUCCUCCACUGAGAAUCUCCAUGAUGCUGAAGAUAGAGGCCCCUAUCCAAAAGUGUCAGCGCUAUCAGCUCAUCACUGUUUUGGAGAUGAGUACUUCACCCCAACUCACCGAAAUGGAGAAACCUCCUCAGAUUCACAACUUGAACAAUGUUGGCCUUUCAACACUGCUGGCCUUGAGGAAACUAUGGACACAGAUGCAGCUACAGGUCUGGGACUGCAUUAUGAGGGCAGUAAGAUAUUGGCAGAACAGACCAUCUGCUGAAGGUUGGAACCUUGGACCAUCCUAAGUUUUUCUCCCCCAAAUGAAUCUUUCUGGUCAUCCAGGACUCCUCUACUAAGAAUCCAUGCUGCUGCGGAUAGGGGCUGUAGACUAUCAUUGUGAGCACCAUCAGUUUCAGUGAGGAGCUUCUGGUGCACAUCCAUCACUGGCUGCAUUAGGGCUUUCACCCCACUUUAUGGAUGCAGUUGCCUUUCACAUAUGGAAGUAUAAAAUUACAGUGGCUGGAUUCAUUGAGCAACAGGUGCAUUCUGGGGCAGAAUAAUCCCCGCACCUUUGCAGGGGGGCUGGGUAGUCCACCCCAGCUCCCCAAACCAUUACACCCGAAAUGCUGGAUUAUUACUCUUGCACUUUUUCAUACCUGGAUUUAUUGCUAUUUCACUGAGGGAUAUAAAUAUUCAAGGAUAAGGAUCUAUGUAGUUGAGUCUGUAAAGCAAUGUGUGCACUACAGGGCAGAAUAAUCCCUGCACCAUUGCAGGGGGGAUGGGUAGUCCACCCCAGCUCCCCAAAACAUUGAUACCUCUGAAGCGCUGGAUUACUCUUUCAGCUCCUUGACAUCAGGAUUUUUGAUUGUUUACACUUACUGAAGGAGGCCCAUGUUCAAGCAUAAGUGGAUAUUAUAUUUCCUAUGGAUGUAUUUUUGAGGCAGUCAAUGUACUUCAGGGCAGAAUAAUCCCUGCACCAUUGCAGGGGGGCUGGGUAGUCCACCCCAGCUCCCCAAAACAUUGAUACAUCUGAAGCGCUGGAUUACUCUUUCAGUUCCUUGACACAUGGAUAUUUGGUUGAUAACGCUUACUGAGGGAGGUCCAUGUUCAAGCAUAAGUGGAUAUUAUUUUUAUAUGGAUAUUUUUGACGCAGUGUGUGCACUUCAGGGCAGAAUAAUCCCUGCACCAUUGUGCAGGGGGGCUGGGUAGUCCACCCCAGCUCCCCAAAUCUAUAGAUACAUUUAAAACACUGGAUUAUUUCUUUUGCACAUUAUAAUAUCUACAUUUUUGCCAUUUAUUGACAUUCUCUGAGGUUAUAAAAGGGCAAGGAUGAGGAUGUAUGAUGUUGUGCUUGGACUUGUGAUGCAAUGUGUGCACUACAGGGCAGAAUAAUCCCCGCACCAUUGCAGGGGGGCUGGGUAGUCCACCCCAGCUCCCCACCCUAUCAUAAUUCCAAGGAUUUACUCUCUGUGAGAUUGCCACAUUCUAUUAUCGCUAAAAAUAAAUUUACUUGUUGGACCUGUU